GACGAACGCUGGCGGCGUGCCUAACACAUGCAAGUCGAGCGAUGAAGCUCCCUUCGGGGAGUGGAUUAGCGGCGGACGGGUGAGUAACACGUGGGCAACCUGCCUCAAAGUGGGGAAUAGCCCUCCGAAAGGAGGAUUAAUACCGCAUAAAAUGAAGGGAUCGCAUGGUACCUUCAUUAAAGAUUUAUCGCUUUGAGAUGGGCCCGCGGCGCAUUAGCUAGUUGGUGAGGUAACGGCUCACCAAGGCGACGAUGCGUAGCCGACCUGAGAGGGUGAUCGGCCACAUUGGAACUGAGACACGGUCCAGACUCCUACGGGAGGCAGCAGUGGGGAAUAUUGCGCAAUGGGGGAAACCCUGACGCAGCAACGCCGCGUGAGUGAUGAAGGUCUUCGGAUUGUAAAACUCUGUCUUCAGGGACGAUAAUGACGGUACCUGAGGAGGAAGCCACGGCUAACUACGUGCCAGCAGCCGCGGUAAUACGUAGGUGGCAAGCGUUGUCCGGAUUUACUGGGCGUAAAGAGUAUGUAGGCGGAUAUUUAAGUCAGAUGUGAAAUUCCCGGGCUUAACCUGGGAGCUGCAUUUGAUACUGGAUGUCUAGAGUGCAGGAGAGGAAAGUGGAAUUCCUAGUGUAGCGGUGAAAUGCGUAGAGAUUAGGAAGAACACCAGUGGCGAAGGCGACUUUCUGGACUGUAACUGACGCUGAGAUACGAAAGCGUGGGGAGCAAACA
rnacentral:rRNA from 1 species